rnacentral:rRNA from 1 species
UGGGGAAUAUUGGACAAUGGGGGCAACCCUGAUCCAGCCAUGCCGCGUGUGUGAAGAAGGCCUUCGGGUUGUAAAGCACUUUCAGUGGGGAGAAAGGUUGUUUACCUAAUACGUAAGCAAAUUGAUGUUACCCACAGAAGAAGCACCGGCUAACUCCGUGCCAGCAGCCGCGGUAAUACGGAGGGUGCAAGCGUUAAUCGGAAUUACUGGGCGUAAAGCGCACGUAGGCGGUUCAGUUAGCCAGCCGUGAAAUCCCCGGGCUCAACCUGGGAAUUGCGGUUGGAACUACUGGGCUGGAGUACAGUAGAGGGGUGUGGAAUUUCAGGUGUAGCGGUGAAAUGCGUAGAUAUCUGAAGGAACAUCAGUGGCGAAGGCGACACCCUGGACUGAUACUGACGCU